CGGGCCAAAUCCUGCAGUACGUCACCUUAUCCCCUCCUGAAACCUGAGCGUUUUCUAUAAAAGCCACAACAACAAAAAAAACUAGUUGCCUCUCAGUGUCCCAGAAGGAGAAGUUCACAUUAUUACAGAGCUGGAACUUUCACAGCACAUUACAGGAAGAGCUCUCUUUUUGUGGAAAAGGACGGUUCCCGCCACAUCUCUGCUGUCUCCAUCAUGAAGACUCUGGCUCUGGGGCUGUUCGCACUGGCUCUGCUGGCACAGAUCAAUAGUUCUGUUGCCAGCACAAAUGACACCAGCGUGUCAGGGAUGACCGUCAUCGCCCCGACAUCCGCUCCCACAGACAAUGCGACCACGACAGCAAGCAACACAACAACCACUACAACAAGCAACGCAACCAUGACAGCGAGCAAUGCAACCACUACAGUGAGCAAUGCGUCCGGGACAGCAAGCAACACAACAACCACAACAGCAAGCAACACAACCAUGACAGCAAGCAACGCAACCAUGACAGCAAGCAACGCAACCAUGACAGCAAGCCUCGCAACCACAACAGCAGGCAACACAACAACCACUACAGUGAGCAAUGCGUACGGGACACCAAGCAACACAACAUCCACAACAGCAAGCAACGCAACCACGACAGCAAGCAACACAACAACCACUACAGUGAGCGACGCAACCACGACAGCAAGCAACACAACCACGACAGCAAGCAAUGCAACCACUACAGAGAGCAAUGCGUCCGGGACAGCAAGCAACACAACAACCACAACAGCAAGCAACGCAACCAUGACAGCAAGCAACACAACAACCACUACAGUGAGCGACGCAACCACGACAGCAAGCAACACAACAACCAUGACAGCAAGUCUCGCAACCACGACAGCAAGCAACACUACAACCACUACAGUGAGCAACGCAACCACGACAGCAAGCAACACAACCAAUAUAGCAAGCAACACAACAACCAAUAUAGUAAGCAACACAACAACCAAUAUAGCAAGCAACACAACAACCAAUAUAGCAAGCAACGCAACAACGACAGCAGGCAAAGCAACCACGACAGCAGGCAAAGCAACCACGACAGCAGCUUGGAUCCCCACUACGACCUCCACCCCAACCACAACAACCACCACUACCCGAAAUCCCACUACAACCACCACUACAACCUCUGCCCCAACCACCACCACCACCACAACAACCACAAACAGUACUACAACUAAAUCUACGGCCACUCCUGUCACCAGAACCACAACAACCCAAGCUCCAGUCACUACAUCAACCAUGAACCCAACUUCCAACUCAACUAGUUACAAUGAGACCACCUUGACCACUGAAACCAUGUCAUUCAGUGAGGGCUCAGAGGUCAAAGCUUCUGUGCUGGUCUCUCUUGUGCCUCUCUUUGUGUUAAAAUGUCUUUGAGUGUAACUGCAGCUCAGUGUGUGUUUUUACAGUCCACUGAAGUGACUGAUAGUAAGUUAAAUCCUGACUUUGACAGCUUAUAAUGACUUCAACCUAUAAUUCUGUACUUUGUUACAUCACUUAUUGUUUAGUUUACGUAGGUUUUUGCACAAAAUGUAAACACAGGUUGUUUUCUUGAUAUUUAUUUAAAAAGAGACAAUAUUGCUGUAGACAUGUAGACAAACUGCACUCAUAAACUUGUUUUGUUGGUAGCACAUAGUACGUGUAUAAGUUGAUAAAUUGUUGUCAAAACCAUCACAUCCAAAGUGUUGAUUUCAAUUGUUUUUGUGCAACAACAGAAUAUAUUCAGGUGAAUUGCGGCUGCAAGAAGACAGGAAGGACAACAACAGAGGCCUAUCAACAUGCACAGCACGCACACACACAUCAGCUCUGAUUCUGUUUACCUAAAACCUUCAAACCCAGUUGAAAGUCUCCAGGAAAGUGAAGAGAACGCACACUGACCGCCUCACCUCUGUUAAGAUGGGCUGAGUCUCCAGAGGGCAGGAUGUUGAUCCACGGUGAUGCAUCAGCUUUUUUCCCAUUUAGAGAUGCAGAGAGAGAAACUGGAAGCCUGAAUAGUGCAAGAAAUAUGAAUGUAUGGUAAGACAGCUGUAUUUAUGGAAUGGAGUGAGAGUCUGAAAACACACUGUGGUUGAUUCGAAUCUUCACCAGAUUCACUGAGUUUGUUUGAACUUUAAGCAUUUAGACUGGGGUGAGCUUUAACCAACAUUCAACAACACUCUGUCUUGCAUCACUCAGAUUUGUAUAUUUUCUCUCAAAAAGCUUGAUGUUUGAAUAUCAUGUACUAAUAAAGUUUUGUUUUAAUU
rnacentral:lncRNA from 1 species